GAGAGAGAAUCUAGGUGGAAACUCUCGCACAGCCAUGAUUGCUGCUCUGAGCCCAGCAGAUAUUAAUUAUGAAGAAACACUCAGUACUCUCAGGUAUGCAGACAGGGCUAAGCAGAUAAAGUGUAAUGCUGUCAUUAAUGAGGAUCCAAACGCACGUCUCGUCAGGGAGCUGAAAGAAGAGGUCAACAGACUCAAAGAGCUCCUCCUGUCUCAGGGACUCAGCAACCUCAUCACUGCCUCAGGGUCUGAAACAGG